GGAGACCAUCAAGCACUGCUAAUCACACUUCUCUUUGAAAGAUGCUGCCUUCUGAUGUGUACAACUACGUAUGGCAAUAUUGGUACCUUACUUAGCCCGAGUUCUACCCCAUCACAUCUCUUUGGGUAAAAUACGCCACAAUUUCUCAAGGAAUUCUGUACUGACCUGCCAUAUACGUGAGAAUACCUGAAAGAGUUGUCGGGCUCAGUGAUCUCUCCUGUCCCCAUCCACGUCUUGAAGCAUCUUCCACAGGGGCCCUGGUGCCUGGAAAUCAUCACCAGAAGCAACUUGAGGAGGAAAAGAGUUGAUUUCAGCGGAAGCUCAAGGCAGUAACCUGAAAACGAGAACCAUGGAAGGAAGAUCCGGUGGAGAGAGGCUGCUCAUUGGCUUGUUUUCGGGCACACGUUCAGCUUCCUUUCUUGUACAGCGCCGUUCCACCUGCCUAGGCAUGAUGUAGCCCACAGUCUACUUAGAACUUCCUUCAUCAAUCAGCAAUGAAGAAAAUGCCCACCCUCUACUCCGAUGUAGGAGAGUCCUCAGCUGAGCCUUUCUCUUCCCAGGUGACUCAGGUUAAUGUCAAGGUGACAGCUAAAGCUUCCUGUGGCAACAUCUAAAUGAGGAGUUAGCGUUGAAAGCAGUAGAUUUGUUCGUUAUACGGGGGGAUCGGUCGGUCUCUGUCCCCCAUCUCUGUCUUUGGUUCUGGGAAAGGACACCAGCCUCAAGUCUUCCUUUUGCUGUUGAACAUUCUGUCCCGAGGUUCAGUAUGUUCAUUUGUAAGAUGUGACUUCUGGAUGGGAGACUGGCAGCUUUGGGAUCUGUCACAUUAGUCACUUUACCCGUCCCCAGAUCUUCUCAAGCCAAGGAAGCUGGCCCCUGACCCUGCACUUAAAACACAAGGCAAAUGGAGCCUUCCACCUUCUCAAGUCACUACUUUAAGGCAACUUCUAAACUAACUUAAAGGAAAUAGGAACAUUCUUAUCUCCUAAAUAUGUUCUGGGAAGGGAAGUCCAUCCUGAAAACUCCGGAACCCAUUGCUGUUUAUAAAGAAAAGAAAAUGCUAUAGACAGUGAGGCAGGAGACUUGCUGCAAGUUUGUGGAAAACCGGGGCUACAGACAGAGAUACUGCCUCAAAAUCAAAAUCAAAGUUCUAGUCAGCGCAGCUACGAACCAUCUGUGUGACACAGAUGUCAGGAGUGACGGGACACCAGAGGCGGAAGCACCUAUGUCCCCUGGCUACAGCAAAGUUCCCAGACCUAUGAAAACCAUCCAGCCUGCUCUGAGCCACAUGCCUGCAGGUCGCAGAGGCAUGCGGGAAAGUGAGAGGAAGUGGAAACGUGCUACAAGAGGGCUCAAAGCAAUGUGCUCACCACCGGAAAAAAAAAUAAAAAUAAACACACUCAGAAAUAGUGUAACUGAUAUGCAAAGGAGAUCAAAACAAGGUUUAAAAUAUCUUGGCUGAUUUAGAGUUGGUGGGCGUGGUAAGUGAAGUGAGGGUGUAAAUGUGUCAGGGGAGCUGGGUAGCCCUCUGCAGCCUGUCACACUUUGGGAGCCCUGAACCCCAAGGGGACAAUAUGGCAUUUACAAUCUCAAAAACUGAACCAUAGAAGCAAAGAGAAUGGUCAUUCUAGAGGUUAUCGAAGCGAUUUGGUGAGACUGGUAAAAAGAAUGCAGAAUUUCAGUUACACAGAGAAAGUAAAGAAUAUUAUUGCACCUGGUGAGCAGAGUUAAUAUAGGAUAAUAAUAUAAUGUCUUCUUAAAAGAUUGCAAGGAAUUUAUUUUCAGUAUUAUAAAAACGAUAAGGUGAUUCAUACAUUAAUUAGUUUGAUUUAGUCAUUCCAUAAUGUGUAGUGGUAUCAAAACAUCGUGCUGUAUGUCUUUAGUAUGUGGAAUUUAAUUAGUCACUUCAAAGGAUGAAUAAACAUAUAAAGCAAAUGUGGGUGGCAUAAAUUCUUCUGACUAUCUCAGAGGCAGAGAUGGACUCCGGAGCAAGAAACUGGGUGUUCCUGAGCCCCAAACUCCUCCCUCGCAGCCCUCUUGCUCUUCCUGAAGGUUCACCCCAUUUGGAAUCAUGGACAUUUGUUCCAGGGCAGGACAUCAAGGCUCAGACAGGAAAGUGGGGAGGCACCGAGAGUCCACCCAACUAGGCUGAAUUUCAAUGCUCAAGUUCCAGUUUGGAGCAAAUGUUCCUAGGUUAGGGAGUAGGGCUGAAUUAUCUCAGGAAAGACAGACUAGCCAGUCUUGUGAUGAGAAGUCCAUUUUCCUUUAGUGUGUUGCGAAGAAACAAACACACCCACUGUAUUUAUAAAAACAAGAAAUUAGAAAUUGUCUUUUGAGGCUGGCUCCUGGAGUGGGAAACUAAAAGGUUGGUGCUGGUUCUGCUGGUUUUAACCUUCCUAUGCCAAUUUAACCAAACCCAAUAAUAGACCAACCAUUGUGGGCACUUCCAGCAUCAGAAUGGCAUAAGUCAGAAGCAUAGGUGCAAAAGGCAGUGUUUGCUCUCUACAGAUCCGGAAGGCACGCACUGGAGCAGGAUGUGAGACGGAUGCUACAGCAGGUGCCUAACCACCUAUCUUACAAUGUCCUUACAAAGCGCCUCCACCUCUCAUCCUUAGGGCUGGAAUGGCUAAGGCUAAUCACCGGUUUCCAGCUAAAGAAACUGAGGCUCCAUGAAGAAAUGAUCCAAGUUCCUGAAAUGAGAAGCCUAUUCAAGGCUGAUCUUGAGUUGAUAUUGUAAUACGUCAUCACCGUGAGAUGCACAGAAUCAACCCAUUCCUGGCUCACAAAGCCCAGCCUUGGGCAGAGGUGGAAGAGGGCACAUGUCCUGUUUUGCUUCCUGUUCCUAUGAUGAAUACCACGGUUCAGUGCAACUCAGGAAGGGAAAGUGUUUAUUUGGCUUUCUUUUCCCACACUACAGCCAUCGCCUGGAGAAGUCAGGGCAGGAACUCAAGGCAGGACCCUGGGGGCAGAAGCCAUGAAGGAACACUUGCUGAUUGGUGGUUCCCCACAGCUUGGCUGGGUCUGUUUUACUUCCUUUGCUUCUUCCUUUUAUUUUAAUCUCCCCAAAUGACUCAUUUAUUAGAAAGUUGAAUAUAAUAAUAAUAAUA
rnacentral:sRNA from 1 species